rnacentral:rRNA from 1 species
AUUGAACGCUGGCGGCAGGCCUAACACAUGCAAGUCGAACGAGUGGCGGACGGGUGAGUAAUGUCUGGGAAACUGCCCGAUGGAGGGGGAUAACUACUGGAAACGGUAGCUAAUACCGCAUACCAUCGGAUGUGCCCAAGUGGGAUUAGCUAGUAGGUGAGGUAACGGCUCACCAAGUCGACGAUCCCUAGCUGGUCUGAGAGGAUGACCAGCAACACUGGAACUGAGAAACGGUCCAGAAUCCUACGGGAGGCAGCAGUGGGGAAUAUUGCACAAUGGGCGCAAGCCUGAUGCAGCCAUGCCGCGUGUAUGAAGAAGGCCUUCGGGUUGUAAAGUACUUUCAGCGGGGAGGCGUUACUAGCAGAAGAAGCACCGGCUAACUCCGUGCCAGCAGCCGCGGUAAUUC